UACGUAGGUGGCAAGCGUUGUCCGGAUUUAUUGGGCGUAAAGCGCGCGCAGGCGGUCCUUUAAGUCUGAUGUGAAAUCUUGCGGCUCAACCGCAAGCGGUCAUUGGAAACUGGGGGACUUGAGUACAGAAGAGGAAAGCGGAAUUCCACGUGUAGCGGUGAAAUGCGUAGAGAUGUGGAGGAACACCAGUGGCGAAGGCGGCUUUCUGGUCUGUAACUGACGCUGAGACGCGAAAGCGUGGGGAGCAAACAGG
rnacentral:rRNA from 1 species